UUUUGUCCAGCAACAUCAUGUUUGCAGGGUAGAAGCAGACUGUGAAGAUGCUUAUCUGCACACACGCUGUUCAGCACAAGUGGAUAUAAAUUUAAAUGUUUCUCCCAUCUCGGCUCAAGUUCACAGAAGUAAACCCAGCGUGUUUACCGUCUGCAAACGGAGCUAACUUUGGUGAUAACACCAAAACCCCCCUGCUAACAGAUUUUGGGGCACUGUGUGAGCUGUGACUUCUGCCUGAGAGUGUGCCCACCCCACCAGGUACAUGGUACACGUGGUGGCAGAGCCGCUGAGCCUCCUGUGCCUGCGGGGCAGCCGCCAACCCUGCAGGCUAGUUUGUGAGGCGGGUGCCUGGGCAGUGUGGGGCGAGCAGCUCAAGUUGUCAGGAGUGCCAGUGUUAGGGUGCAUGGACUGUUUGGCUUGCUAUUGCGUCCUCCUGGGGGGUGAAAAUGCCUUGGCUGCUCCUGGUCCGAACUGCGGGUCUGCUCUGGUGCUGGACGUGGCCGGGGUGGUCUCGUCCCAGGGGGAACGCUGCCUGUCGUGGCCAGCUGGCAAUGUAAGGAGAGGUUUGGUCUGGCACCCCCACGCUCCAUUUAUUGCCUUUCGCUUUGAGAAGCAGGUUUAUGAGCAGUGGGACUGCUUUUCGAAGUGCACCCUGUACAGAGAUGCACGGCUUAACCCCUCAGAGUGAUGCCUGGGCUCUUUCCUUGCUGCAGAGGCCACGUAGCUGUGUUUCAGCUUGGGGUUUCUGACCAGCCCGGGUGGAGAUCCUCAGCUGAAGACCCUGAAGCCAUAAAGGGGCUUGCUCCUCACCAGCUGCUCUGCUUUAACUCUAGGGGUGCGUUUUGGGCUGCUCACUCCUCAGGCUGCCUGGGUGAGGCUGCCUGUGGCCCCCAGAGCUCACCCAGGACUUUUCCUGAUCCAUGUCUCUGUUGUGCAGAGAGCGAGCAUCCAGGCAAGGAGACAUGGCGUCAGCUGUAGGACCUGUAUCAGGGCAGAUCCUUGGUCCUCGCCGCCAGCGGAGUGAAGCGGCCCUUCACCUCUGACCGAGGAGGAUUAGACACAGGCUCACCAGCGCUAAGGGAGAGAUGUGCUGUAAAAAUGCCUCCUGGGCAGUGCAGGCUGCAGCUUUGUGGUGGACGUGACCCCAAUCUGCUUCAGAUGGACUUUUUAUGGUGCUACAUCACCGUGGUGUGCCCCACCUUCCUUCUCUCUCUCAGCCACAAGCAUGCUGGCUCCUAGCUGAACUGUUCCCCUCCUGCUCUUGGUGGUACAUUUCCUUAGCGGCAGCGCACCCCCACGCCUGUUUCCUGUUCAGGGAGGAGUAGGAAGAGCCACCAAGACCAACAGACACCCACGGCAUCUAUAUCAUCACUGGGCUGCGAUGCAUUUAACAUACCGAACAGUAAUUCUCCAUCAUCCCGCACUUGAAUGAUCUGGACCUAUUUAUUACAUUUCCUGAUGUGCUGCUCCGAGAAGCCCUACCUGUGUUUCCCUAUCUCUAUAUAAGCAUUUAAGGGAUUUCGUUACCCAACAGUGACUUUCACAUGAGAGCAAAGAAACACCCUCGUGUUGGUUUAUACUCUGGUGAUGCUCCAGCCCGUACUCUGGGUUAUGUACUCCCUGCUGUAGGGCAAACUGUUUCGCUGUAGGAUGUGGAGCCAUGGGUUUGCACCACUUAGAAGGGAAGUGCUUCCUUGAGACCUCUCCUUUACAGCAGCUUUUGUGCUGCUGGUGACCCGGCAUGCACCGGGGCUGAAGCUUUGCCAUCAGUUUUGGAAAACCUUUGGUUUAUGAGCCUGUGCUUUAGGCAUGUGAAGAAUACAUAAAUGUUUUCAAAGUGAUGGAGCCAAGCACAGAGGUCCACUCCGUACCUCUACCCUAUGUAGCAGGACUUGUAACGUCUAUGAAGGAAAAACCAACGUAUUAAUUUUCUGCUGCUACUGCAUAGUGGGAUUUAUGCAUGCCAUUCCCUUACUGUUAAUUGGAGAUUAUCACAUCAGGGCUCUCAUAUCACUAAUAGAAUAAAUCCUUAAAUCACGAAGCAUUUAAUUGUUGCCAAUUAAAAGGCCUCUUCCUCCUCGUACUUGUGUUGUGGAGCUCUCAAAUGUAAAAGCCCAGGGAGAAGCGGCUCUGGUGACACCGAGGUGGGACGGGGACAGGGCACAUGGCUGCAGAUGGAUGUUGUCAACACAUCGGAGGGAGGAAGGUGGGAAGAGGUAAGUCCUGGUGGGAUACACCCCUACUUUUUUUUCACCUGGUUCCUGUAGUAAUACCCAGAGGUGUUUGGGGAUGGGUGCAUCCCUGGCUGGACAUCGGGGCACUUCUCUUCCUGGGAUAAUUCUGCAGGCCCAGUUUGUCCCAAAAAGGGAUGCUCUAGGCUGGUAUGGGAACGCAGGUUUAUUUACCUGCCUGGCCUGAGAAGUCUCGGAUAUUUAGUGACUCAGAAACUCUCUCUGAGUGCAGUUUUCAAACUUAUCUUUUUGUUAAAACAGAGCCUCGUAGGCCAAAUUUAACACUGAGGCAUCAUAUGGAUCAUAUGGAGGGCUGGGAAUAAAAUUAAUUAAUGCAUGGAUUACAAUGACCUAUAAAUGUCAUUGUUUCAUCUCAAAGAUAUAUUGGUACUGUAAUUUUUACUUAACUCUUUCAAAGGACCACAUGUGAGCACAACUGAAUGGAUACGGAAAUUAUUUAUACAGCAUGUUAAAGGGACAUUAAAGCAUUUCAUAGCAUGUGGUAGGCCUCUCAGUGAGGCGAAAGGCACAGAUCAGCUAUCCAGCUGUGGUGUGCUGCUUUGGCUGUGCCAAAGCCACCAGAUGAUGUACUUUCCUGGCUGUCUCCAAAAUAAAUGCGAGCAGGAGUGGGCUGGAUGCGCAUUCCCGGGUGGG